rnacentral:rRNA from 1 species
AUUGAACGCUGGCGGCAGGCCUAACACAUGCAAGUCGAGCGGUAGCGGAAAGUAGCUUGCUCCUUUGCCGGCGAGCGGCGGACGGGUGAGUCAUGUCUGGGAAACUGCCUGAUGGAGGGGGAUAACUACUGGAAACGGUAGCUAAUACCGCAUAACGUCGCAAGACCAAAGAGGGGGACCUUCGGGCCUCUUGCCAUCAGAUGUGCCCAGAUGGGAUUAGCUAGUAGGUGGGGUAACGGCUCACCUAGGCGACGAUCCCUAGCUGGUCUGAGAGGAUGACCAGCCACACUGGAACUGAGACACGGUCCAGACUCCUACGGGAGGCAGCAGUGGGGAAUAUUGCACAAUGGGCGCAAGCCUGAUGCAGCCAUGCCGCGUGUAUGAAGAAGGCCUUCGGGUUGUAAAGUACUUUCAGCGGGGAGGAAGGUGUUGAGGUUAAUAACCUCAGCAAUUGACGUUACCCGCAGAAGAAGCACCGGCUAACUCCGUG